GCCCGGUUAGCUCAAUCGGUAGAGCGUGAGACUCUUAAUCUCAAGGUUGCGGGUAAGAAGUUGCAUGUUCAAUACAUUACCGAGUC